UACGGGGGGAGCGAGCGUUAUUCAGAAUGACUGGGCGUAAAGGGUACGUAGGCGGUCUAUUAAGUUGAAGGUAAAGGCCCAGAGCUUAACUCUGGAAAACCCUUCAAAACUGAUAUGACUGGAGUACGAGAGAGGAUAGUAGAAUUUCUAGUGUAGGGAUGAAAUAUGAAAAGAUUAGAAGGAAUACCAAAGGCGAAGGCAACUAUCUGGAUCGAUACUGACGCUGAGGUACGAAAGUAUGGGGAGCAAACAGG
rnacentral:rRNA from 1 species